rnacentral:rRNA from 1 species
GAUUUCUGGCUUGGCGCGCGCGGUCCGCUGCGGUUUCGUGGUGUGUACCGUUGUGCGCCUGCCAUCCUGUGGGUUUUAGGCGCUACUCUUCACUGGGUGGUGUCUAUAUCUCACUCUUUUACUUUGAAAAAAUUAGAGUGUUCAAAGCAGGCUCGCGCUCUGAAUACAUUAGCAUGGAAUAAUAAUUUAGGACUUCUGUUCUAUUUUGUUGGUUUCUAGGAUGGAAGUAAUGAUUGAUAGGGAUAGUUGGGGGUGCUAGUAUUCAGCGGCCAGAGGUGAAAUUCUUGGAUUCGCUGAAGACUAACUUAUGCGAAAGCAUU